ACAACGGAGAGUUUGAUCCUGGCUCAGAACGAACACUGGCGGCAUGGAUUAGGCAUGCAAGUCGAACGAGAACGCUC
rnacentral:rRNA from 1 species